UACGGGGGGGGGCAAGCGUUGUUCGGAAUUACUGGGCGUAAAGGGCUCGUAGGCGGCCAACUAAGUCAGACGUGAAAUCCCUCGGCUUAACCGGGGAACUGCGUCUGAUACUGGAUGGCUUGAGUUUGGGGAGAGGGAUGCGGAAUUCCAGGUGUAGCGGUGAAAUGCGUAGAUAUCUGGAGGAACACCGGUGGCGAAGGCGGCAUCCUGGACCAACACUGACGCUGAGUGAGCGAAAGCCAGGGAGCAAACGGG
rnacentral:rRNA from 1 species